GCCUACGGGGGGCAGCAGUGAGGAAUAUUGGUCAAUGGGCGGGAGCCUGAACCAGCCAAGCCGCGUGAGGGAAGAAGGUACAGCGUAUCGUAAACCUCUUUUGUCAGGGAACAAAGGCGGGGACUAGUCCCCGGAUGAGGGUACCUGAAGAAAAAGCAUCGGCUAACUCCGUGCCAGCAGCCGCGGUAAUACGGAGGAUGCGAGCGUUAUCCGGAUUUAUUGGGUUUAAAGGGUGCGUAGGCGGGACCUUAAGUCAGCGGUAAAAUUGCGGUGCUCAACGCCGUAGAGCCGUUGAAACUGGGGUU
rnacentral:rRNA from 1 species